rnacentral:lncRNA from 1 species
UCAUUAUUAAUUCCUGUGGAUAAGGUUGAUGCAUUCAAUAUAUUGUUGUACUUAUGAUGAUAUAGUUAUUGUAUAUAUACUCCAUUAAUAUUGGAAACCUAGAAUUCUUUACAAACAGAAUUACUCAAAUGUUUGUGAAAACUGAAAAUAGAAAUUAUGACUUUAUUUUGUGGUUGCUAUUAGCCAAGAAGGCUUGGUUCCCAUGUAUAUUUUUUGUGUGUUUCCAUGACGAGAAUUCAUUUUAAUUCACUUCAAGGCAAACUUCAGAUGACUCUUCUAAAUACCACUUUGACAUAGCUGAAUUUAUGUUCACAUGUGUGCCCUAUGGAGAGAUAGAGAGACACUGACUAAAAAUACUCUUGAAGAGAGAGAUUAGUAGAAAAUUUCUUGACUGCAUCCUAAAAUUUGCCCUUAAAUGUUUCCUAUCCCCUUGAAUUCAUGCUUUGUAGACCCAUGUUUCCAAGUUGUGACUUAGGUUCCACUUCUACCAGAAUACCUGGAAGAAACUUGUUAAAUGAUGGGCUCCUGGGCCCAGGGCACAUUUCAAAUAAAAUUUUAUGUGUGGACCCUGGGAUCUGCACCGUAAGAAGCCUGCUUGGUUCUUCUUGCACCCACUGAAACUGUGGACUCCAUCCCAGCAUUGAGAAUGGACUAAUUUGCUCCACUUUGGAAUUGAAUUAGCUCUCGGACCAGCGGGGCACUGGUAGGUAAAUUGCUUUUUCCAGUACUGGCAUGUUUUCUCCCUCAGUGCCUCUGUUGGCUUCUGAGCUUAUAACCUCCAGGGAAAAAUGAGAAUGUCCACCCUUUUAAUAUGUGUAGAGACCAUGCAAGACCAUUGUCUCCCAAUAAUUAGACAGACCUUGCCACAUUAUCCCUGUUAACUGCACACGGUGGGAAGGCUGCUUUCCACUUGCC